rnacentral:lncRNA from 1 species
UUUGUUUCGGUUCGCCCAACCCCUUUCUGUUCGUCUCACCCGACCCCUUUUUCCUUUCGUCUCGCCCGACCCUGUCAGUUUUGCCAACCCUUAUCCGCCUCGCCUGAGGACUCGGCUGUAUCUUUUUCUUUGACCCGAGGGUAUCGGUGAAAUUUUUCGGGGAUUUCUCUGUGUUGAGUCUGAGGACCUCGGUACGGUUUUUCCUUAAAUCUGAGGGUUAGACCAUCAGUUUCUCCCAAUCCGAC